GAUCAUGGCUCAGAACGAACGCUGGCGGCGCGUUUAAGCAUGCAAGUCGAGCGGCAGGGGGGCCUCGGUCCCCCGAGAGCGGCGGACGGGUGAGUAACACGUGGACAACCUGCCCCCCGGUUCGGGAUAGCCCAGGGAAACCUGGAUCAAUACCGGAUGCGAGGGCGGCCGCACAAGCGGCCGUCGGGAAAGGCGCUUCGGCGCCGCCGGGGGAUGGGUCCGCGUCCCAUUAGCUAGACGGUGGGGUAACGGCCCACCGUGGCGAUGAUGGGUAGCCGGCCUGAGAGGGUGGACGGCCACAUUGGAACUGAGACACGGUCCAGACUCCUACGGGAGGCAACAGCUAAGAAUCUUCCGCAAUGGGCGAAAGCCUGACGGAGCGACGCCGCCGUGAACGAAGAAGGCCGUGAGGUUGUAAAGUUCUUUUCGGGAGGGGGAACAACCGUGGCAGGGAAUGGCCGCGGGAUGACGUGAAUCCCGGAAUAAGCCCCGGCUAACUACGUGCCAGCAGCUGC
rnacentral:rRNA from 1 species